ACUACCAGUGUGGAAGGACCUCUUUUGGAGGUACACUCUACUGGAGUUUUCCACACAAGCCCAGGAUAUGGAUCCUGGACAAUCCAUCUGGAACUGUAGUGUUGUCAUACUCUGCUGUAUGAGUUUAUGCCUGUGUAAUGACAGCAAGUGAGGAUUCACUCCAGUGCAACAGCAGUGGACACAGAAAUGUAGGAGAGAAGCUCUUUACCUUCAAAAGACUCAGGUUGUGAAGCUUCUCACUGCACACAUAACUUACGUUGGAUGAUAGAAUUUGGAAGACUGCAUGGGCUCUUUUGUCAACUCAGGCUACCUGUGCGCUGGGCAACAUCAGCAGACAGAACCUGCA